AUUGAACGCUGGCGGCAUGCCUUACACAUGCAAGUCGAACGGCAGCACGGGUGCUUGCACCUGGCGGCGAGUGGCGAACGGGUGAGUAAUACAUCGGAACAUGUCCUGUAGUGGGGGAUAGCCCGGCGAAAGCCGGAUUAAUACCGCAUACGAUCUACGGAUGAAAGCGGGGGACCUUCGGGCCUCGCGCUAUAGGGUUGGCCGAUGGCUGAUUAGCUAGUUGGUGGGGUAAAGGCCUACCAAGGCGACGAUCAGUGGCUGGUCUGAGAGGACGACCAGCCACACUGGGACUGAGACACGGCCCAGACUCCUACGGGAGGCAGCAGUGGGGAAUUUUGGACAAUGGGCGAAAGCCUGAUCCAGCAAUGCCGCGUGUGUGAAGAAGGCCUUCGGGUUGUAAAGCACUUUUGUCCGGAAAGAAAUCCUUGGCCCUAAUACGGUCGGGGGAUGACGGUACCGGAAGAAUAAGCACCGGCUAACUACGUG
rnacentral:rRNA from 1 species